AGCUUUGCGCAGUGGCAGUAUCGUAGCCAAUGAGGUUUAUCCGAGGCGCGAUUAUUGCUAAUUGAAAACUUUUCCUAAUGCUAAGCAAACAUCUCCUCAGUAACAACCCAUUAUGGAGUUUAUUGUUGAUGGUGCUGCUAUNUCCAAGCUGUCAGCGCAG
rnacentral:snRNA from 1 species